CUUGUCUCAUGGGGGUGCCCGGCGAUUGUGGAUCGGGCUGAGAGGCAAAUGGCCAACUCCUAGAACCUGAUCCGGCUUGUACCGGCGGAGGGAUUUGAGAUCAUGACUGAU
rnacentral:ncRNA from 2 species